GGAUGUGAGGGCAAUCAGGCUAUGACAUCUGUCACCCCCUUGAUCACCAGCGUUGAUUCAGCUGAUCUGGCUGGCUAGCAGGGUGUUCCUUUCCUGCCUCACCACUGCAUGCAUGUCCCUCCUGAAGCUGUGUGUUUGGUGGAAGAGGAUGACCUUCCCUGAUAGAGGAGGACCAUUCUUUGGUCAAAGGGUAUAUGAGUAGCUGUGUUCCCCUGCUAGAACCUGCAAACAAGUUCUCAAGAUUACAUGAAAACACUUUGAGGUAAAGAUGUCAGGAAUUCAGGAAAUUGUGAAUACUUGGAAAGGUAAUC
rnacentral:snRNA from 1 species